CCAAACCUGGUUGAUCCUGCCAGUAGCAUAUGCUUAUCUUGGAGAUUAAGCCAUGCAUGUCUAAGUUUAAGUAUUUAACGGCGAAACUGCGAAUGGCUCAUUAAAACAGUUAUAGUAUAUUUGAUAAUGUUUUUACAUGGAUAACCGUGGGAAACUAGAGCUAAUACAUGCAUAAAGACCUUCGGGUUGUAUUUA
rnacentral:rRNA from 1 species